rnacentral:rRNA from 1 species
AUUGAACGCUGGCGGCAUGCUUUACACAUGCAAGUCGAACGGUAACAGGUUAAGCUGACGAGUGGCGAACGGGUGAGUAAUGCAUCGGAACGUGCCCGGUCGUGGGGGAUAACGCAGCGAAAGCUGCGCUAAUACCGCAUACGAUCUGAGGAUGAAAGCGGGGGACCGUAAGGCCUCGCGCGAUCGGAGCGGCCGAUGUCAGAUUAGGUAGUUGGUGGGGGUAAAAGGGCUCACCAAGCCGACGAUCUGUAGCUGGUCUGAGAGGACGACCAGCCACACUGGGACUGAGACACGGCCCAGACUCCUACGGGAGGCAGCAGUGGGGAAUUUUGGGACAAUGGGGGCAACCCUGAUCCAGCCAUGCCGCGUGAGUGAAGAAGGCC